rnacentral:rRNA from 1 species
GACGAACGCUGGCGGCGUGCUUAACACAUGCAAGUCGAACGAGACGAUUGAAAGCUUGCUUUCGAAAGUCGAGUGGCAAACGGGUGAGUAACGCGUAGACAACCUGCCUUUGAGAUGGGGACAACAGUUCGAAAGGACUGCUAAUACCGAAUGUUGUAUAUUUUCCACAUGGAAGAUAUAUUAAAGAUGGCCUCUAUUUAUAAGCUAUCGCUCAAAGAUGGGUCUGCGUCUGAUUAGCUGGUUGGUGGGGUAACGGCCUACCAAGGCGACGAUCAGUAGCCGGUCUGAGAGGAUGAACGGCCACAUUGGGACUGAGACACGGCCCAGACGCCUACGGGAGGGAGCAGUGGGGAAUCUUCCACAAUGGACGAAAGUCGGAUGGAGCAACGCCGCGGGAGUGAAGAAGGGUUUCGGCUCGUAAAGCUCUGUUGUCGGGGACGAAUGUGCAGUAUUUGAAUAAAGUACUGCAAUGACGGUACCUGACGAGGAAGCCACGGCUAACUACGUGCCAGCCGCCGCAGUAA